rnacentral:rRNA from 1 species
UCGUCUUCUGAAGAUAACUUUUAUAGAAGAUAAUGCCUGCCCAGUGAAUCUUUAAACGGCCGCGUUAGCGUGAGCGUGCUAAGGUAGCGUAAUAAAUAGCCUUUUAAUUGAAGGCCAGUGAAUGGCAAGACUAGGAAUUUCUAUACCCUGUAUGCAAAAAUAACUUUUCUUCUGGGUGAAAAGCCCCAGAUAAUAAAGGAAGACGAAAAGACCCCGCGGAGCUUAACCUACAAGACUUUAUCCCUUAAAAAAUAAAUUCUCCUAAGUUUGAUUGGGGCAAUCAUGGAAUAACUAAAACUUCCAAUCUAUAAAAAAAACUCAUUCAGAGCUUGAUAAGAACUAAAAAGUAGCUACCCCGGGGAUAACAGCGUAAUCCAACUUGAGAGUACACAUCGAAAGCUGGGUUUGCGACCUCGAUGUUGGCUUAAGGAUAUCCAUAUAAGUGCAACCGCUAUAACUGGAUAGUCUGUUCGACUAUUAUACCCUUA